rnacentral:rRNA from 1 species
GGGCCCGCACAAGCGGUGGAGCAUGUGGUUUAAUUCGAUGAUACGCGAGGAACCUUACCAGGGCUUAAAUGUAAGUUGCAUUAGUUAGAGAUAGCUAUUUCUUCGGACCACUUACAAGGUGCUGCAUGGUUGUCGUCAGCUCGUGUCGUGAGAUGUUGGGUUAAGUCCCGCAACGAGCGCAACCCACGUCUUUAGUUGCCAGCAUUUAGUUGGGCACUCUAGAGAGACUGCCGGUGAUAAACCGGAGGAAGGUGUGGAUGACGUCAAGUCAUCAUGCCCCUUACAUCCUGGGCUACACACGUACUACAAUGCUACGGACAAAGGGCAGCAAGUUCGCGAGGACAAGCAAAUCCCAUAAACCGUGGCUCAGUUCAGAUCGUAGGCUGCAACUCGCCUACGUGAAGGCGGAAAUCGCUAGUAAUCG